AGACUCUUCCUCCGAGCCCCCAUCUCCCUCAUCUCCCCCAUCCCCCUCAUCCCCAGCUACAAGCCCUCAUCUCUCUCUGUCUCCCUCAUCUCUCUCGUCUCCCUCAUCUCCACCUACGAAGCCUCUCUCCCUGAAAAUCUCCCUGAACCACACAAUCCCUUAUCUCCUGGAACCACACGAACCCAUCUCAGCCCAUGGCCUCCAUCUCCACGAGCCAUCUCAUCUCCCUCUCGGCAUCCUUGACGUACAGAUUACAUAAUAUAUAGAGGAAAAACUACCGCUCGAAAAAAGGGGAAAGCAAGGUCGGCAGAGGACUUGGACCGGAACCAGAGGUUGGUGCUGAAAAUAGGGGGAAAAAGUUGCGAGUCACACCUGUAAGAUGUAGCAAUGCAAUGAGAGUGAGAGGAGAGGGACGAUGGCAGAGGAUUCUACAAAUGGAGAUGACAAUACCAGAAAUGAUCAAGACAUAGUUGAAAUGGAGUCUGGGAAUAUUCUCAAGAUUAAUUAGCACAAAAAGAUUAUAAUAGAGAACCUUGACAGUGAGCAGACAGAGUCAGAGGAUGGACUGGAUGAGAAUGAAUCAGAUUGGGUCGAGGUUCAGAGCUUUUGCAUUCUGGUGCUUGAUCAGAACUUUUGAAUGAUACUACCCCUCAAAAUGGGGCUUGGUCGACCCAAGCAACAGAGUCAGAGAAUGAGAAGGAAUCACAACAAUCUUCAAUAACUAUGGACCUCAGCUGCUACAGUUGGAAAGUUUGUAAUGCAACCAUUGGGCUAGACUAUAUCCCUUGCCUUGGCAAUUGGCAAGUUAUUAGAAUACGUGUCUAUAUCUUCGUUUGAAUUCAAAACCCACAUCAAC